CCUACGGGAGGCAGCAGUGGGGAAUUUUGGACAAUGGGGGCAACCCUGAUCCAGCCAUGCCGCGUGAGUGAAGAAGGCCUUCGGGUUGUAAAGCUCUUUCGGCCGGAACGAAAUCGCGCACGUGAAUAACGUGCGUGGAUGACGGUACCGGAGUAAGAAGCACCGGCUAACUACGUGCCAGCAGCCGCGGUAAUACGUAGGGUGCGAGCGUUAAUCGGAAUUACUGGGCGUAAAGCGUGCGCAGGCGGUUCGCUAAGUCAGACGUGAAAGCCCCGGGCUUAACCUGGGAACGGCGUUUGAAACUGGCGGGCUCGAGUACGGCAGAGGGGGGUGGAAUUCCACGUGUAGCAGUGAAAUGCGUAGAUAUGUGGAGGAACACCGAUGGCGAAGGCAGCCCCCUGGGCCGAUACUGACGCUCAUGCACGAAAGCGUGGGGAGCAAACAGGAUUAGAUACCCUGGUAGUCCACGCCCUAAACUAUGUCAACUAGUUGUCGGGGAAGCAAUUCCUUGGUAACGCAGCUAACGCGUGAAGUUGACCGCCUGGGGAUACGGUCGCAAGAUUAAAACUCAAAAUGAAUUGAACGG
rnacentral:rRNA from 1 species